CAAAGAAACGCACAUGAGUUCCUCUAACUAGCCCGCUGACGGGAAACUUAGAUAGAGCUUUACGUUCCGGAUUGGGACGUAGUUGGAGGCGUGGUGCUGGGAAACUUGUCUUUGAAACCAAGCUUCUUGUGGACCCGAUCUAUGUGAUACAGACACAAAGAGCAGCUCUCCACUCCAGAGUAUUGGGGAUGACUUUCCAUUUCCUAAAACACACUACACUGGGUGUUGCCAAAGGAGAUUAACAUUUGAGUCAGUGGACUGGAAGAAGCAGACCCAUCGAAUCAACUGCCAGCACAGCUCAAAUAAAGCAGACAGAAGAAAAACAUCAGGUAAAUUUCGGUAAAUAGACAUCCUACAAAAUACCCGACCAGCACUCCUCAAAAGUGUUGAACUGUCAAAGUCAUCAAAAACAAAGUCUGAAAAACUGUCACUGCCAAGAGGAACCUAAGGAGCCGUGACAACUAAAUUUUCUCAAGAGACUGCUGGUACACCUGGCAGAAGGACUCAAGCUCUUCAACACUCUUCACUGAGGCCGAAGGGAUUUCUUUCUUGGUCAGAUUCUCCUCCUCCAGACUGUUGUAAACUACUUCAUCUACACGGCUCUGGUUUGCUGAAACAUUCCCUUCUACAUUAUUCAAAAGAGACGUUUCUCCUGUCUGUUCUAAAAGAGCUUUGCAAAAGGAGCAGUCUCCCAAACUGCUAAGACUAGGGCUGACAGGCAGGCAAGAGGAUGACAGGGAUGGAACGAGCCCCUCCUCCAAGCCCGGCUACAUCUCCUUCACCAAGUCACAUUGAAAGUUUCUGAGAUUCACCGGGUGCGGUGGCUCACGCCUGUAAUCCCAGCACUUUGGGAGGCCGAGGCAGGUGGAUCACAAGGUCAAGAGAUCGAGCCCAUCCUGGUCAACAUGGUGAAACCCCAUCUCUACUAAAAAUACAAAAAAUUAGCUGGGCAUGGUGGCACGUGCCUUUAAUCCCGGCUACUCAGGAGGCUGAGGCAGGAGAAUUGCCUGAACCCAGGAGGCGGAGGUUGCGGUGAGCCGAGAUCCCGCCGUUGCACUCCAGCCGGGGAAAACAAGAGCGAAACUCCACCUAAAAAAAGAAAAAAAGAGAAAGUUUUUGAGAUUCGUUGACAAGACCAAAUUUUCAGCUUUUAAUGAGUCAACAAGCUUCAAGGAGUUUUCUUGCUGAUUUAUCUUUUCUUGAAGAUCUCUUAACAUGGUUUCCUGAGAGGACUUCACUAUUUAAAAAUAAAUAAAUAAAAGUUGUCAAUGUUUGUAAUAAAUAUUUAUUCUAAAGAAUGCUAACCCCUCCCACCACAAAAAAAAAUUCAAACAAACAACUUCUCAGGCCCUGGGAAAACUGGCAUUAUUGCCUGGGUACCCCCUAGAAAGUGGAUCGCUUGAUAAUUAUAUAAAAACAAUGAGAAAAAUGGUUAUCUUAAAGAUAGUACCAUGUUUAUUCAUCUUCUUUCUAGUAGCUUCGAUAGCUUGGAAUAAAAUACCAAGGGACAACUUUCCUAAGCACUUGAAACUGUCUCUUCUUUUCUUUGUAUAUGUUCAUAUAUGUGUGUAUUUUUACCAUCUUUUCAAAUAUUUAUUCAAAGAGAGAAAACUGGGACAAGAACAGCACUGAAAUGGGAACAUUCCACUUCAUUGUAGAAUAAUCCUGAUGUCCCAGAAAAGUCAGUAAGUACACCACCAUUUAGCCAGAACAUCCAAAGAUUAGACUUCAGUAGAAAAGAGGAAACGAUGCCACAUAUCAGUACUCCUCAAGGCCUACGUGUGAAUAUUCUUGAAGAACAUUAUCACCCCACCCCAGCCCCUCAGAGCAAAAACGACAGUGUCUAUGAAUGUGACAGUCAUCUGCAAGCUUCUUCAAACUCCGUUACUACUCUGUUUUCUACCCAAUGACUCAUCUAUACACACUGGCCCCUCCUGGUUGGGAAUAACCACAUGUUUUCAUUAAACUGAUGAGAGGCUUCAAGUUGCUCAAGUAUUUGGGGAGAGGUUAAAAGUUGAGAAACCUCCUCAGUAGAUGAUAAAGGUAACAUGUAUCACAAUCUCAGACAUCGCAUCAAGUGGAAAGAAGUACAUACUUCCAACCUGCCAAUCUCAGUCUACCUACAGACAGUUGAGGGCUUGUGUAGACAGCACCACAAGGACUUUAACCCACUUUGCUGUGAGCACCUCAAUCAAUCACAUGAGUGACCAACAUUGAAAAAUGCCCCAACUGUUCCUUUUCUUACAGAUUCCCUUCAAGAGAGCUCAAGGCUGACACUGCUACCUGCUGCUGUGGAAAAACUGAAAGCUGUCUUGGGGAGAUUGGGGUUUUAAAAAGAAAACAGGGCCAGGCACUGUGGCGCUCACCUGUCAUCCCAGCACUUGGGAGGCCCAGGACGGUGGAUCACGAUGUCACAAGAUGGACACCAUACUGGCCAACAUGGUGAUACCCCAUCUCUACUAAAAAUACAAAAAUAAGCUGGGCGUGGUGGCACGCGCCUGUAAUCCUGAAGUAUUUGAUCGAGUACAAAAUUAGCACCAAGACAAAAGUAUGCCAAAUUGCAGGGUCUUUAUUGCCAGCGACCAUGGAGGACUCACGUCUCUCCAACUCAUGGUCCCGAAAGGAGGGUUUUUUAUGCCCGCAAACCACCUCCAGGGUGAGGGUGUGGGGCGGGGGUGGGGGUGAAGGGAUUCAGACAUUCUGAGGGCCAGGGGAUUCUGUAAAUCACCUCCCGGGCAGAGAGGAAGGUGCAGGUCUCCGGACAUUCCAAGGCCUAGGGGACUUGUUGUCACUUCGAUUGUUACCCGAGUGGUUUACAGAAGUUAAGAUAAGCGUUAGUUUACACAUCAUCUGGGCAGUGGUGGAAUCCACAGAUUUUAGUUACUUAUUACAAGUCACAGGGGCCAGGAUGGAAUUAGCUUGGGCUGCUUAUUCUGGUCAUUACUGGUAAGCAAAGGCCAGCAAUUCGGGCAGUUACUAAUAAGAAAAGGUAAGCAGCUUUAGAUAGUGGGCAUUUUACAGAGCAAGGUAGCAGUUUUAUUUACAGAAGCCAAGGCCAGCAGUUAUCGUGAGGAAAAUGGGGCAGCCGUUACAACUUAUUUCUGAAAAACAGCUUUGUCUUGUAUAAAAUGGCAUUGUUCAGGUUCUAACUCUAGGCCAGCUAUAGUACAGUCCCAGCUACUCGGGAAGCUGAGCCAGGACAAUCGAUUGAACCCAGGAGGUAAAGGUUGCAGUGAGUCAAGAUCAUGCCACAGCACUCCAGCCUGGUGACAGAGCUAGGCUCCAUCUCAAAAGAAAAAAAAAAAAGUCACAGAGAAGUGUGACACACAUUCCGCAGGACAGAGUUCAAAGAAAUCCUAGACUUGAAAACACCCCAGGUGAGAAAAUAAGGGUAUGUAGAACACAUCCAGCACAAACACACAAAUAUGAAACCAAGAGUGGAUUCAUUUGAUGUGCAAAGCGGAAUUCUUUGGCUUUAAAAUAAGAAAAUAAAAUCAGUCAAGUAAGUCAUCAAAAAACAAUGGUCAUUAGGUGCCUGGAAAACAUGCAUUUAAUAUAGGGUUUUUCCAUUAUAAGGGAAAUGGUAAUGAGUCAGGAGAUGAGCUGUCUGGAUCUAACAAGCUCACUUGAGACACAGAAUAGCACUCAGGGGUGAGAGCAGCACUGACAAUUUAGCUUUGUGUGGAAAAUAUUUACCCUCUGGUUUCAAAGUGCUGAGCACCAGGCAUUUGGGACUCAAUAUGUUCCAAUUUAAAAAACGUCCCACUCUCAUUCUGCAAACUAAAUGGAAGAGGGAAAGCUCUUCCACAUCAACUGCACACAUCUUUUUAGGGGAAUAUAUGAAAAAAAAAUCCAUAGUUUCUCUAAUAUGUUAAUGUCAUCCAUCCUCUCUCAUGGAAAUAAUAGCUUAGAAAGUUAACUCUAAAACACUAAGUUUACUUACCUUUCAU